rnacentral:rRNA from 1 species
UACAGAGGUCUCAAGCGUUGUUCGGAUUCAUUGGGCGUAAAGGGUGCGUAGGCGGCGCGGUAAGUCGGGUGUGAAAUCUUGGAGCUUAACUCCGAAACUGCAUUCGAUACUGCCGUGCUUGAGGACUGGAGAGGAGACUGGAAUUUACGGUGUAGCGGUGAAAUGCGUAGAUAUCGUAAGGAAGACCAGUGGCGAAGGCGGGUCUCUGGACAGUUCCUGACGCUGAGGCACGAAGGCCCAGGGGGAGCAAA